rnacentral:rRNA from 1 species
AGAGUUUGAUCCUGGCUCAGGAUGAACGCUAGCGGCAGGCUUAAUACAUGCAAGUCGAACGGCAAGUUGAAUAGCAAUAUUUGACCUAGAGUGACGUACGGGUGCGUAACACGUAUGCAACCUACCCAAAACUGGAGGAUAGCUCGGGGAAACUCGAAUUAACCCUCCAUAAGAUCAUAGAGUAGCAUUACUUAGUGAUUAAAACUCCGGUGGUUUUGGAUGGGCAUGCGUCUGAUUAGUUAGUUGGCGGGGUAACGGCCCACCAAGACGAUGAUCAGUAGGGGAACUGAGAGGUUGAUCCCCCACACUGGCACUGAGAUACGGGCCAAACUCCUACGGGAGGCAGCAGUAGGGAAUAUUGGUCAAUGGGUGCAAGCCUGAACCAGCNNNNNNGCGUGCAGGAAGAAGGCGUUAUGCGUUGUAAACUGCUUUUGCCAGGGGAUAAAAUUUCCUUGCGAGGAACAUUGAAGGUACCUGGUGAAUAAGCCACGGCUAACUACGUGCCAGCAGCCGCGGUAAUACGUAGGUGGCAAGCGUUGUCCGGAUUUAUUGGGUUUAAAGGGUGCGUAGGCGGCCCUGUAAGUCAGUGGUGAAAUACGGCAGCUCAACUGUCGAGGUGCCAUUGAUACUGGGAAACUUGAGUACUGAUGAGGUAGGCGGAAUGGACGGUGUAGCGGUGAAAUGCUUAGAUAUCGUCCAGAACACCGAUAGCGAAGGCAGCUUACUAAGGAGUAACUGACCCUGAUGCACGAAAGUGUGGGGAUCCAACAGGAUUAGAUAUCCUGGUAGUCCACACUGUAAACGAUGAUUACUCCAUGUUGGCGAUACCCAGCCAGCGUCUUAUCGAAAGCGAUUAAUUAAUCCACUUUGGAU